AUGAUGGUUCCACUCGAUCCAUGCAACAAGCCCACCUCGCAGCGCCGCAUCACGGAGGGCGACACCGUCGUGGUGUACGAACGGCACGACUCGAUGCGCGCAGUCACCGUCAGCGCCGCCGGCGUACUGCAGAACCGAUUCGGCGUCUUCCGCCACGCCGACUGGCUCGGCCGCCACUUCGGAUCCAAGGUAUUCAGCAGCGGCGGUGUUGGGGGCAAGGGCGGUCGCAAGGCCGGCGGCGGGUUCGUCCACCUCCUCGCGCCCACCCCGGAGCUCUGGACCCUCGUGCUCAGCCACCGGACACAGAUCCUCUACAUUGCCGAUAUCAGCCUCGUGGUGGCAUACCUCGAGCUCGUCCCUGGGUGCGUCGUGCUGGAGUCCGGGACGGGCAGCGGUUCGCUCACCACCUCGCUAGCCCGCGCCGUCGCGCCGCACGGGCGCGUGUACACGUUUGAUUUCCACGACCAGAGGGCAGACUCGGCAAGGGAAGAUUUUGAGAAGAAUGGCCUAAGCAGCCUUAUUACAGUUGCUGUUCGGGACAUACAAGGACAAGGAUUCCCAGAUGAGUACUCUGGAGCUGCUGAUGCUGUGUUCCUGGACUUACCCCAGCCUUGGCUGGCAAUACCGUCAGCUGGUACAAUGCUACGACAAGAUGGUGUUCUAUGCUCCUUUUCACCUUGCAUUGAACAAGUACAGCGUGCUUGCGAAACUAUGAGGUCUUGUUUCACAGAUAUUAGAACUUUUGAAAUUCUUCUUCGCACCUAUGAAGUACAUGAAGGUGCUCUGAAGAGUGCAACCGUCAACGAAGCCUCUAGCGAGGGUUGUUCACUUCCUGGGAAGAAACGGAAAAUUCGGUCAGCUGGAGAAGCCUUAGACAGUACUCAGACAUCCUCUGUUAUUGCUAGGCCUUGCAGCACAGCUAGAGGACACACUGGCUACUUGACAUUUGCAAGGAAAAGUGUGCAUGGGAGCCAAACUGGGGCCGCUGAAGUUUGCCCCACAUCUUAG
rnacentral:rRNA from 1 species